rnacentral:rRNA from 1 species
CCUACGGGAGGCUGCAGUGGGGAAUCUUGCGCAAUGGGCGAAAGCCUGACGCAGCGACGCCGCGUGAGUGAUGAAGGCCUUCGGGUUGUAAAGCUCUGUGGGGAGAGACGAAUAAGUGCAGCCUAAUACGUUGCAUGAUGACGGUAUCUCCUUAGCAAGCACCGGCUAACUCUGUGCCAGCAGCCGCGGUAAGACAGAGGGUGCAAACGUUGUUCGGAAUUACUGGGCGUAAAGCGUGUGUAGGCGGUCUGCUAAGUCGGGUGUGAAAGCCCCGGGCUCAACCCGGGAAGUGCACUCGAAACUGGCAGGCUAGAGUACUGGAGAGGUUGGUGGAAUUCUCGGUGUAGAGGUGAAAUUCGUAGAUAUCGAGAGGAACACCGGUGGCGAAGGCGGCCAACUGGACAGAUACUGACGCUGAGACACGAAAGCGUGGGGAGCAA